rnacentral:rRNA from 1 species
UACGGAGGGUGCGAGCGUUAAUCGGAAUUACUGGGCGUAAAGCGCGCGUAGGCGGUUUGCUAAGUCGGAUGUGAAAUCCCCGGGCUCAACCUGGGAACUGCAUCCGAUACUGGCCGACUCGAGUGCGAGAGAGGGAGGUAGAAUUCCACGUGUAGCGGUGAAAUGCGUAGAUAUGUGGAGGAAUACCGGUGGCGAAGGCG